GUAUAAUCGAUUUUUCCUAAAUAUCUGCGAAUAAACAUGUAGACUAUUGCAUAUUCUAUAUGUUCCUAUUCAAAUACAUAUUAAGGUGUGGCUGUCUAAUGGGUUAAACAGAACAGAUGGCGUUUGCUAUUCUGUACCAUGAGGUCUCUGGAAUUUGCUGUAUAAGAGAUUUGGGGUGGUCUUUAUAUGGGGAAUUUCCUUAUAUGGCCAGAGUCUAAACUAAACGUUA